rnacentral:rRNA from 1 species
AGCACAGCUUGCUGGGUGGAUUAGUGGCGAACGGGUGAGUAACACGUGAGUAACCUGCCCUUAACUCUGGGAUAAGCCUGGGAAACUGGGUCUAAUACCGGAUAGGAGCGUCCACCGCAUGGUGGGUGUUGGAAAGAUUUAUCGGUUUUGGAUGGACUCGCGGCCUAUCAGCUUGUUGGUGAGGUAAUGGCUCACCAAGGCGACGACGGGUAGCCGGCCUGAGAGGGUGACCGGCCACACUGGGACUGAGACACGGCCCAGACUCCUACGGGAGGCAGCAGUGGGGAAUAUUGCACAAUGGGCGAAAGCCUGAUGCAGCGACGCCGCGUGAGGGAUGACGGCCUUCGGGUUGUAAACCUCUUUCAGUAGGGAAGAAGCGAAAGUGACGGUACCUGCAGAAGAAGCACCGGCUAACUACGUGCCAGCAGCCGCGGUAAUACGUAGGGUGCGAGCGUUAUCCGGAAUUAUUGGGCGUAAAGAGCUCGUAGGCGGUUUGUCGCGUCUGUCGUGAAAGUCCGGGGCUUAACCCCGGAUCUGCGGUGGGUACGGGCAGACUAGAGUGCAGUAGGGGAGACUGGAAUUCCUGGUGUAGCGGUGGAAUGCGCAGAUAUCAGGAGGAACACCGAUGGCGAAGGCAGGUCUCUGGGCUGUAACUGACGCUGAGGAGCGAAAGCAUGGGGAGCGAACAGGAUUAGAUACCCUGGUAGUCCAUGCCGUAAACGUUGGGCACUAGGUGUGGGGACCAUUCCACGGUUUCCGCGCCGCAGCUAACGCAUUAAGUGCCCCGCCUGGGGAGUACGGCCGCAAGGCUAAAACUCAAAGGAAUUGACGGGGGCCCGCACAAGCGGCGGAGCAUGCGGAUUAAUUCGAUGCAACGCGAAGAACCUUACCAAGGCUUGACAUGUUCUCGAUCGCCGUAGAGAUACGGUUUCCCCUUUGGGGCGGGUUCACAGGUGGUGCAUGGUUGUCGUCAGCUCGUGUCGUGAGAUGUUGGGUUAAGUCCCGCAACGAGCGCAACCCUCGUUCCAUGUUGCCAGCACGUAGUGGUGGGGACUCAUGGGAGACUGCCGGGGUCAACUCGGAGGAAGGUGAGGACGACGUCAAAUCAUCAUGCCCCUUAUGUCUUGGGCUUCACGCAUGCUACAAUGGCCGGUACAAUGGGUUGCGAUACUGUGAGGUGGAGCUAAUCCCAAAAAGCCGGUCUCAGUUCGGAUUGGGGUCUGCAACUCGACCCCAUGAAGUCGGUGUC